GUGGGUAUAGCUCAGUUGGUAGAGCGCGGCCUUGUGGUGGCCGAUGUCGCGGGUUCGAGCCCCGUUACUCACC
rfam:Microbacterium sp. Root166 contig_2, whole genome shotgun sequence.